rnacentral:rRNA from 1 species
UGGGGAAUAUUGGACAAUGGGCGAAAGCCUGAUCCAGCCAUGCCGCGUGUGUGAAGAAGGUCUUCGGAUUGUAAAGCACUUUAAGUUGGGAGGAAGGGCAGUUACCUAAUACGUAUCUGUUUUGACGUUACCGACAGAAUAAGCACCGGCUAACUCUGUGCCAGCAGCCGCGGUAAUACAGAGGGUGCAAGCGUUAAUCGGAAUUACUGGGCGUAAAGCGCGCGUAGGUGGUUAGUUAAGUUGGAUGUGAAAUCCCCGGGCUCAACCUGGGAACUGCAUUCAAAACUGACUAGACUAGAGUAUGGUAGAGGGUGGUGGAAUUUCCUGUGUAGCGGUGAAAUGCGUAGAUAUAGGAAGGAACACCAGUGGCGAAGGCGACCACCUGGACUGAUACUGACACUGAGGUGCGAAAGCGUGGGGAGCAAACAGGAUUAGAUACCCUGUAGUCCCUGAGCGGGCUGGCAAGGCGCAU